rnacentral:tRNA from 1 species
GUUGUAUAAUUUAUUUAAAAUAUUUACCUUGAAAGUAAAAUAAGUUAUUACUACAACUUC